rnacentral:lncRNA from 1 species
CUACAUUCUGGAUUCUCUUCUCCCUCUAGAAUUCUGUGUUCUAUGCUCUGAUUCUCUUUAUUUUAGGUCACUUUAAGCUCUGACAUUCUGUGGUCCAUGUUCUCCCAUUUGAUGUCCUGCAAUUUCUUCCAAUUUUAAUAUUCACUGUUUCUACUCUAUGAGGCAGCUAGGUGAUGAAAUGAAGAGAGUUUCUCAUCUGGAAUCAGAAAGGAUUCAAAACCAAAGUGAACCAGCUCCUGCCUACACAGAGUUUACAUUUAAAUGUAAUAGAUAAUAUUUACACAUUUUGAUACACAUAAAAUUCAUUCAAAGCCGAUUCAAAGCAACUUUGGCAACAUUAGCAGUUGGGAGGAGGAUCAAGCAAAGAAAGUUGCUCUUAAGACUAAUAUUGAAGAAAACCUGGGAUUCCAAGAGAUUGAUUGAUUUAAUACUCACCGUGGCGACUUGCAUCCAGGAAAUAUUGGUUGUGAAUGCAAAAUGCUUUGGAAGGAAAGCCUCAGCACUGGAGAGUUUCACAUGGAAGAGAAGCUUUGGGCCCCAGAAGCUGGAUUCAGUCAAGAUGUUAGUGCAAAUUCUAGCUCUACUACUUACUAACUACAUAAACCUCAAUGAGUAGCUCCAAUUCUUUGUGCCAUGAUUUCUUCAUUUGUUAUAAAGAGAUAGUUGUUUUUGAACUACCUGUCUCACAGAGACUGAGAGAAAAGUAGUUUGGGACACCUCAGAGUUCCAUGAAAAGGGAAGAGCUACUGUUAUUAUCAGUGAUAUGAUUAGUUCAUAACACUAGAGCAACAAUAGGUAGAGGGUCCUACUUUCAAGCUGCAGUGGUGUUGACGGGUGGGAGCAAUUGCAUUCUAAAAUGUCAGUGCAGCAUAAUGGAUAGAGCACUAGAUAUGGAAUCAGAGCUUCGUAGAUUCACAUCAAGACUAAUUCAUGGCUGCAAUAAACAAGUAAUUAGUUAAUUAAAUUAUCA